AUGAAUCUAGUCGCGCCCCUAGUUAGAUUAUUAAUUUUAGAUUACAGAUUUUUACUUUGCAAUAAAUAUUUACAUAAUUGGGCUGAAUGAAUAUUUGCAUAUAUUUUUAUAUUAUUGGGCCUAAAUAACUUAUAUUGAAGUGGGCCUUUUAACGAAGAGUUUUUGUAGGAAUUUUUCUUUUGAUUUCAUUAAUAUUGGGCCAAAUUCUUUGUAAUGGUCCUAAAAUAGCUACCACAUUUAAAGAACACUGAUCACUAUUUCUUUUUUUCUUUUUAUCAAAGAUGUGGAUAUUAUACUUUCUUAGCUUCCACGAAAUAUUUGCAGCCACAACCCAUUCAUUUUUAUCUCUUCAUUAAUUUUUAUCAUUUAUUCCAUGUUUAUCUUUCAAAAUCAAUCCACCUAUGAACUUCAGCGAUUAUCCUCAAUCCUCCAUAAAUAUUUACUCUGCAAAGCUUUCUCCAAACAACUCACUCAAAAAAUUUAGCCAAAUCAAACUAUUCUCUUGCCUUUGCAAAGUUUCCAGCAAUAAUCUAGCUUGUUAUUCUCCAAACGGUGCGGCGCGACUAGGAUAUGAAUUUUAAAUUGAAUUACUCAAGUUGAAGUUCAAGUUCAAGUUCAAACUUCAGGUUUUAAAGGCCGGAGGCGCGUGGAAGGUCGAAUGGCGAGUCAAAUAUUUUAUAUUUAG